CCUACGGGUGGCAGCAGUGGGGAAUAUUGGACAAUGGGGGGAACCCUGAUCCAGCCAUGCCGCGUGUGUGAAGAAGGCCCUCGGGUUGUAAAGCACUUUCAGUGAGGAAGAACGCCUGGUGGUUAAUACCCAUCAGGAAAGACAUCACUCACAGAAGAAGCACCGGCUAACUCCGUGCCAGCAGCCGCGGUAAUACGGAGGGUGCGAGCGUUAAUCGGAAUUACUGGGCGUAAAGCGCGCGUAGGUGGCUUGAUAAGCCGGUUGUGAAAGCCCCGGGCUCAACCUGGGAACGGCAUCCGGAACUGUCAAGCUAGAGUGCAGGAGAGGAAGGUAGAAUUCCCGGUGUUGCGGUGAAAUGCGUAGAGAUCGGGAGGAAUACCAGUGGCGAAGGCGGCCUUCUGGACUGACACUGACACUGAGGUGCGAAAGCGUGGGUAGCAAACAGGAUUAGAUACCCCGGUAGUC
rnacentral:rRNA from 1 species